AUUGAACGCUGGCGGCAGGCCUAACACAUGCAAGUCGAGCGGAUGAAGGGAGCUUGCUCCUGGAUUCAGCGGCGGACGGGUGAGUAAUGCCUAGGAAUCUGCCUGGUAGUGGGGUAUAACGUCCGGAAACGGGCGCUAAUACCGCAUACGUCCUGAGGGAGAAAGUGGGGGAUCUUCGGACCUCACGCUAUCAGAUGAGCCUAGGUCGGAUUAGCUAGUUGGUGGGGUAAAGGCCUACCAAGGCGACGAUCCGUAACUGGUCUGAGAGGAUGAUCAGUCACACUGGAACUGAGACACGGUCCAGACUCCUACGGGAGGCAGCAGUGGGGAAUAUUGGACAAUGGGCGAAAGCCUGAUCCAGCCAUGCCGCGUGUGUGAAGAAGGUCUUCGGAUUGUAAAGCACGUUAAGUUGGGAGGAAGGGCAGUAAGUUAAUACCUUGCUGUUUUGACGUUACCAACAGAAUAAGCACCGGCUAACUUCGUG
rnacentral:rRNA from 1 species